AUAAUUUUAAGUGUGGGGUGGGAGACUUACUAUGGUAGUGCAUUGUAGUGUAUAUAUACAUUGAGUAUAUUUUAGUAUUAGAUUGAUGUUGUUAUGUAUAAUUGACUGUACUCAUAUUAGAAGCAACUGACUUGGGCCAACGACGGACACUUGUCGACGGGUCUCUUGAGGGUCAAAGUCGGAUAUAUAAAAAAAACUAAAAACUGAAAAAAAAAAUGUAGAGGACUCUUCCUGAGGACGGACCACUU
rnacentral:lncRNA from 1 species